AGCCACGCAGUGUGUACAAAGCGAAUUAUUCUUUCGCCUUUUACUAAAGAAUACCGUGUGCACGCUGCUCAAAGUGGCAUACGCUUAUUUUUGGAGGGUUAUUUCUUUGUAAAUAGC